AUGCAAGGCCGUGGCAGAGGGAAUCGAUACGUCCUUAAAAAUUCAAGGGCUUCUCGUAAACAGAAACUUUUAACACCGUUUAAAGUUUCAGGGCCGUUGCUGCUGCUCCUCGCAGCAGCACCGCUGCAGGAGGAAGGCAGGGGGGGUCGUGAGCAAGGGUUUGGAGGGAAGGGAAGGGGCCAGGCUGCAAGCUGCACAGAGAAGUGGGGGGCGGGUGGGGGGGCAGGGACUCCGGGGGCCCCCUGGCACCAAGGUUCCCAGCUGGCUCCCCGGCUGGCAGGAGGUGGGCACAGCUGAACGGGGGGCGGGGGCACGGGGAGAAACAGGCUCCUCGUGCCUGCCAGAGAGAGGGGUGCCCAUGGUGCCAGGUCUGAGCUGCCCACUCGGACUCUGCCUGGGGUUUGGCACAGAACCCUGGAGGGAGGAGGGAGAGUGCGCCCCCUGUGGGCCUCUCAUGACCCUCCCCCACCCAGGGCCCUUGGAGCGGGGCCUUGGGAGCUGGCUGCCUGGCCUGUUCCCACCCCUCUGUGCAGGCCUGUAGGGUCAGAGGUCAUAGGCUCCCACGCCCUGCUGGCCCAUCUGUUUCCUCGGGUCCCCUCCUUCUGCUCCCCUCACCUGGGGCCUUCCUUCCUGAGGCAGGAAGAAGGCUGAGAGGGGCCUGGCCACCCCCCACCCCGCCCCGCGCUCCGGGGGGCAUUUGGAGGCAACCCUGACAGCGCCACAUGUCCCUGCGUCUGUGCCAGACGGGCCCAUCUGCUAGGGCCCUGCUUCCAGCCGCCCAAAGCCAGGCUGCCCUCAUGUGCUGCAGACCCUGUGCCCAGCUAAGGAAGGAACACCCCUGAUGCCCACACCCCAAAACAGGCACCCGCUCCCAGGGAACCCCAGUUGGAGGAACAUACACACACACACAUACACCACUGGGUUUGGCCAACCUUUAUGGUUCCUGUUUAAUGCCACACUGUGUGGAGACUUAAGGGUGCAAGGCAGGAGGGGCCGCUGAGAUCACACGGGUCCUGCCCCUGAUUUGGGGAGCCCACGUUUUCCCCAGCAGCUAUGUGGGCCUCCCUGCCUUGGUUCCUUGGGGUCCCUAGGACGGAGAUCAUCACUGUGUCUCCUGGUCUGUGUGUGACGAUCUGUCCUCCCUGCAUCUAGGAGUGUGUCUUUCAUUCUAUGAGAGGGGGUCCAGCCUGGUGGUUAAAAUCAGUUGCCACAUUGCCUAAGAUUCAAGUGCCAGAUCGCUGUGUGACCUGAGCGAGUGACUUUGCCUCUUAGAGCCUCAGUUUCCUUCUCUGCGAAA
rnacentral:lncRNA from 12 species